UCAAAUUUAUCAAAUUAAUCGUACUCGAGGAAGAAAACAAAAACCACUGCCAUUAAAAUCCAAGAAACGGGAAACUUUAGUUAAGGACUUUGUGACACUCGCGUACGUUACUGAAACAGUGAAACAUACGAAUUACAUGUCAAAAACAAGCCAAUUUUGUCGUUUAAGCUUCUUUUCGGGAUUACCAGCCAACUCUUGCCGACUUCAAUAUAUUUAUUGCGUUUCAAUUUCACAGCCAUGAGUAACUCUUUGGCCUUUGGGAUUUCUUCAACUCUUCACACAUUUUCUCCCCUUUUUGAACCAAAGAAAAACACCCCAACAUGCACUUUCUGGAUAAAUUUUACUGUGUUUCUCACAGUUAGAGCAUUAGAUUCUCUAAAUUGUUAUUUUGUUCGUUGCUUCUGAGUUUUUAAAGUUAUUUAUUGAGAUAUGGGUUGGAAAUACAACGCUGGAUUGGUGUUAAUAGGAGCUUUUGUGUUGAUAUGGGUUGCUUCUGCUGAGGUUACUCAGGUAAUUAAAGCCUUUUCAUUUGCGCUCUUUCUGUUUCUUUUUGGGGGGAUUAUAGAGUUUAGUCUUGGUUUAUUUUGUGUACUGAUGCUUUUAUUUUAUAGCUGAAUUCUAAUAUUGUUUACUUAUGCAGCAACUUGAUAGGGAAAGAUUGAUAAGAAGUAAGGGAAUAUAUAGACUUAGCUAAACAGUGCAACCGACUUCUGAAUUGGAAAAUAUAAAGCUGAUAUUAUAAAAUUAGUUCUAACAGAUGAAUAAGAUUAUAGCAAAAUGUAGUCUAGUUCAUGACGUUAUGCAGAAAUGCUAGUAACUCCUUUUUGUUAUUAUUAUAUGUAGACGGUCCAGACAGAAUUUUAUGUUGAAAAAGAAAUGGUGAGGAAUAACUUAAGGAUAAUAUUGGAUUGUGAAUUAUGUUUAAGAAGUUAGCUCAAAGGAAGAUCAAACAGAGAGAUUAGGAUUCCAAUGAAUUGUGGCCUCAUAUAUAUUGCUGAGAUGGGGAAAAGCUUUGUUUUUCUAUAGUCAAGCAACUGAAAGCACUUGCAAAAAUAGGUUCAGAAUAUAAAUGGUGAGAAAGCGUAGGACUUAAGUAAAUAUGCAUACAGAUUAAGCCCAAGAGGCUAGACGAUAGGGGAAGAGUGUAAAGUUGGAAAGUUCAAAAAUUUGACGGAUUGCUUGUAGGAGACUAGAUACUAUUGUGACUAGGAUUAUGAUUAAGGUAAAGGAGUGUCAAAAAGAUAGGCUGCAACAUUGUUGAAAUGCAUAGAGUCUUAGUUAUUUUUGUUGUUGACGUCAUCAUCUUACAAGGUUUUAUCAAUGAUACUGCCUGUAUAGUAUCCAUUACACAUUACAAAGACAUCAUUUGAUUGUUUAUCUGCUUUCAGACGUUAUGUACCUUAUUUUGGUUUCUGUUGGCGUUGUUAUUUUAUUACAUUUAUCUGCUGUCAGUUGCCGGGAAAGAAAUGAGAAGCAAGAAAUUGUCAUGCACU
rnacentral:lncRNA from 1 species